ACGCUGACAGAAUGCUUAACACAUGCAAGUCAAUGGGGAAACGGUGCUUGCACUGCGAUAACCAUGGCGGACGGGUGAGUAACGCGUAAAGAACUUGCCUCUUAGUCUGGGAUAACAGAUGGAAACGACUGAUAAGACUAGAUAUUAUUAAAGCUUUGCAUGAAGCUUUAAUGAAAAGAGAUGCUAAGAGAGAGCUUUGCGUCCUAUUAGUUAGUUGGUGAGGUAACGGCUCACCAAGACGAAGAUAGGUAGCCGGUCUGAGAGGAUGAACGGCCACAAGGGGACUGAGAUACGGCCCUUACUCUUACGGGAGGCAGCAGUGGGGAAUAUUGGACAAUGGAGGAGACUCUGAUCCAGCAAUUCUGUGUGCACGAAGACGGUUUUCGGAUUGUAAAGUGCUUUCAGCAGGGAAGAAGAAAGUGACGGUACCUGCAGAAGAAGCGACGGCUAAAUACGUGCCAGCAGCCGCGGUAAUACGUAUGUCGCAAGCGUUAUCCGGAAUUAUUGGGCAUAAAGGGCAUCUAGGCGGAUAUACAAGUCAGGGGUGAAAACUUAGGGCUCAACUCAAAGCUUGCCUUUGAAACUGUAUAUCUAGAGUGCUGGAGAGGUGGACGGAACUACACGAGUAGAGGUGAAAUUCGUAGAUAUGUGUAGGAAUGCCGAUGAUGAAGAUCGUCCACUGGACAGCAACUGACGCUGAAGUGCGAAAGCUAGGGGAGCAAACAGGAUUAGAUACCCUGGUAGUCCUAGCUGUAAACGAUGAUUACUGGGUGUGGACAUGAAGAGUGUCUGUGCCGAAGCUAAUGCGAUAAGUAAUCCGCCUGGGGAGUACGACCGCAAGGUUGAAACUCAAGGGAAUUGACGGGGACCCGCACAAGCGGUGGAGCAUGUGGUUUAAAUUCGACGCAAC
rnacentral:rRNA from 1 species